rnacentral:lncRNA from 1 species
CCUGUGGCCAAUUCACAUCCAAUUGUUUGAAAAUUGGUCUUAGGUGAUAACCCUGAAUGAUUAAAUAUGAAGCUAAUUCUGCUUUCAAAUCCACCUGUUCCUUUGAAAAGCACAGUAAAUGUCCCCCAGAGGAGGAAGGUUCAAAGCUGCACUGAUCUGACUGUGUCUACUGAAAACCCAAAUGUUAUGAUCUCUGUGUUAUAUGAGAUACUAUCCCUAAAGUAAAACUAGCUUUAGGAAGCCAAAACUCCAGAUGGCUCCUCUGGCACCCAGGAUAUAUGGUGGCACCUGAAUGGACUCUCUUUUAGGGGGUAGGAGCAAAUUCCGUGGUACUGCUGGGACCUAUGAUACUGGUGAUGCUUUGAUCUCUCACUCUUCUUGUGCUGAUUGUGGGUGCUGUGCUAUUUUAAACCCACAUGGAAGUAUGUUUUCAGGACCAUCUGCUACCGGCCCUAACCCAGAUGAUACAGUUAGAGCCUGCCCACAGCAUCCUCCCCUCCUUCAGGCGGUUCCAGGAACAAGCGCAGCUUUCUGGUCAUCCACUCAUUUGGCAAAACUGGCAAAACGUGCCCUCUCCUUUGGACUGCUGCUGUCGUCACGCUUCUCCUGGAUGCACUUAGCAUGCUGUACUGCUUGCCACCCAGCAGGUUAA